CUCCUCCUCCCGCUCCUCCUGCUCGCCCUGCGCCCGCUUCUCUCGCUGCCGCCGCCGCCGCUGUUUGUCUCCUCCCCCUCCUCCUCCUCCUCCUCUUCCUCCUCCUCCCGCUCCUCGAUGCUCCGCCGCUCGCGGCUGGGGGGUCCGGGGCCGCGUCUCCUCUCCUCCCUCCGCCUCUCCUCUUUCCUCCUUCCUGCUGCCUCUUCUUUUAAAGCGGAUUCUUUGGCCACAAAUAGCAACUCGGCUGCCCCCCUCGGUGCCUCCCUCCCCUUCUCUUCUUCCCCCCAAAAGUGAAGCGCACGCGAGGUAAAGAAACGAAGACCCUGAGAAUUUAAAAUCAUCCAACUAUUUGGUGCCAGAAGCAGGACAAGAACUCAGACAUCAUGAUCCAGUGCCCUCCAUCCCACCAGCUAUUCAUCAUCACCUCCACAUUCUGGAUCAAAGAAGCCAGUUUUCCAACUUAUCAAUGAGCAAUACAUAUAGAAUAUUUUUAAAACUCCAAAUACUUUUAUGAAGGAAAAAUGAAGCAAUAGGACAAGACAUUUUCUUCGUUUCCUUCCAGCUCUAACAUUCUGUGAUAAAUAGCACACAGGAGCUUUGCUAUAGCACUACCCCCUCUAGUGCAUAAUUCAGCAUACGAUGAGUAUGAGUCUGUUUUGGACCCCAUCCAAAGGAGUUAGUUCCUAGAAGUACUUGGAAGAUUUAUUCUCAUUUAUCAUGAGGCAUCCUAACAGGAGACUAAAAAUAAUCACGAUGACAAUAAUAGUAAUCAGUUGUUACACUUGUAUUAUGUACUAAGCAUCGUGCUAAGCAUGUUAAAGUUCACCUGUUUUUGAAAAGGCACUUCAUGACCUUAUGUGGGUUGCGAAUCUAGUGGGUCAUAAACAAUUUCUGAAAUGAAAGAAAAGUAGGAAAAAACACAGAGUGCAUUAUACAUACUAAGUUGUUUUAUUUUUUAUUUUUUUAUUUUUUUUGCAAAACUUCCUUUUUGAUCAUGUGGCUAGUGAUUAAAAGUUUGGAAGCACUGCCUCGUUUCCAAUCUUAACUGCCUUGCUAGUUAAGUAUUAUUAGCCCCAUUAUAUAAGUGAGGAAACAGGACGAGAGAGGAUAAGUAAUUUGGCCAAGCUGACACAGUGAGUGGCCAAGCUAGAAUUUUGAACCUAGAUCUGUUUGACUUCAAAUCCAAUAUUUUCACUUCUAUAGUGAUGAUAAAUUAUUGACCAAGGUAUGGAAUAAAUUGUUGCUAAUCAUG
rnacentral:lncRNA from 1 species